ACGACUCAUUCAUAUGUCUGCCCUAUCAACUUUCGAUGUUACUAUCUGCGCCUACCAUGGUGACCACGAGUAAUGGAGAAUCAGAGUUCGAUUCCGGAG